rnacentral:rRNA from 1 species
GAUGAACGCUGGCGGCGUGCCUAAUACAUGCAAGUCGAGCGAACGGACGAGAAGCUUGCUUCUCUGAUGUUAGCGGCGGACGGGUGAGUAACACGUGGAUAACCUACCUAUAAGACUGGGAUAACUUCGGGAAACCGGAGCUAAUACCGGAUAAUAUUUUGAACCGCAUGGUUCAAAAGUGAAAGACGGUCUUGCUGUCACUUAUAGAUGGAUCCGCGCUGCAUUAGCUAGUUGGUAAGGUAACGGCUUACCAAGGCAACGAUGCAUAGCCGACCUGAGAGGGUGAUCGGCCACACUGGAACUGAGACACGGUCCAGACUCCUACGGGAGGCAGCAGUAGGGAAUCUUCCGCAAUGGGCGAAAGCCUGACGGAGCAACGCCGCGUGAGUGAUGAAGGUCUUCGGAUCGUAAAACUCUGUUAUUAGGGAAGAACAUAUGUGUAAGUAACUGUGCACAUCUUGACGGUACCUAAUCAGAAAGCCACGGCUAACUACGUGCCAGCAGCCGCGGUAAUACGUAGGUGGCAAGCGUUAUCCGGAAUUAUUGGGCGUAAAGCGCGCGUAGGCGGUUUUUUAAGUCUGAUGUGAAAGCCCACGGCUCAACCGUGGAGGGUCAUUGGAAACUGGAAAACUUGAGUGCAGAAGAGGAAAGUGGAAUUCCAUGUGUAGCGGUGAAAUGCGCAGAGAUAUGGAGGAACACCAGUGGCGAAGGCGACUUUCUGGUCUGUAACUGACGCUGAUGUGCGAAAGCGUGGGGAUCAAACAGGAUUAGAUACCCUGGUAGUCCACGCCGUAAACGAUGAGUGCUAAGUGUUAGGGGGUUUCCGCCCCUUAGUGCUGCAGCUAACGCAUUAAGCACUCCGCCUGGGGAGUACGACCGCAAGGUUGAAACUCAAAGGAAUUGACGGGGACCCGCACAAGCGGUGGAGCAUGUGGUUUAAUUCGAAGCAACGCGAAGAACCUUACCAAAUCUUGACAUCCUUUGACAACUCUAGAGAUAGAGCCUUCCCCUUCGGGGGACAAAGUGACAGGUGGUGCAUGGUUGUCGUCAGCUCGUGUCGUGAGAUGUUGGGUUAAGUCCCGCAACGAGCGCAACCCUUAAGCUUAGUUGCCAUCAUUAAGUUGGGCACUCUAAGUUGACUGCCGGUGACAAACCGGAGGACGGUGGGGAUGACGUCAAAUCAUCAUGCCCCUUAUGAUUUGGGCUACACACGUGCUACAAUGGACAAUACAAAGGGCAGCGAAACCGCGAGGUCAAGCAAAUCCCAUAAAGUUGUUCUCAGUUCGGAUUGUAGUCUGCAACUCGACUACAUGAAGCUGGAAUCGCUAGUAAUCGUAGAUCAGCAUGCUACGGUGAAUACGUUCCCGGGUCU